rnacentral:rRNA from 1 species
AUUGAACGCUGGCGGCAGGCCUAACACAUGCAAGUCGAGCGGAUGACGGGAGCUUGCUCCUUGAUUCAGCGGCGGACGGGUGAGUAAUACCUAGGAAUCUGCCUGAUAGUGGGGGACAACGUUUCGAAAGGAACGCUAAUACCGCAUACGUCCUACGGGAGAAAGCAGGGGACCUUCGGGCCUUGCGCUAUCAGAUGGGCCUAGGUCGGAUUAGCUAGUUGGUGAGGUAAUGGCUCACCAAGGCGACGAUCCGUAACUGGUCUGAGAGGAUGAUCAGUCACACUGGAACUGAGACACGGUCCAGACUCCUACGGGAGGCAGCAGUGGGGAAUAUUGGACAAUGGGCGAAAGCCUGAUCCAGCCAUGCCGCGUGUGUGAAGAAGGCCUUCGGGUUGUAAAGCACUUUCAGCGAAGAGGAAGGGUGGUGUGUUAAUAGCACAUCAUUUUGACGUUACUCGCAGAAGAAGCACCGGCUAACUCUGUGCCAGCAGCCGCGGUAAGAC